rnacentral:rRNA from 1 species
AUUGAACGCUGGCGGCAGGCCUAACACAUGCAAGUCGAACGGUAACAGGAAGCAGCUUGCUGCUUUGCUGACGAGUGGCGGACGGGUGAGUAAUGUCUGGGAAACUGCCUGAUGGAGGGGGAUAACUACUGGAAACGGUAGCUAAUACCGCAUAACGUCGCAAGACCAAAGAGGGGGACCUUCGGGCCUCUUGCCAUCGGAUGUGCCCAGAUGGGAUUAGCUAGUAGGUGGGGUAACGGCUCACCUAGGCGACGAUCCCUAGCUGGUCUGAGAGGAUGACCAGCCACACUGGAACUGAGACACGGUCCAGACUCCUACGGGAGGCAGCAGUGGGGAAUAUUGCACAAUGGGCGCAAGCCUGAUGCAGCCAUGCCGCGUGUAUGAAGAAGGCCUUCGGGUUGUAAAGUACUUUCAGCGGGGAGGAAGGGAGUAAAGUUAAUACCUUUACUCAUUGACGUUACCCGCAGAAGAAGCACCGGCUAACUCCGUG